rnacentral:rRNA from 1 species
CGGGCCGCUCCAGCAGUGGGGAAUAUUGCACAAUGGGCGCAAGCCUGAUGCAGCAACGCCGCGUGAGGGAUGAAGGCCUUCGGGUUGUAAACCUCUUUUAGCAGGGAAGAAGCGAAAGUGACGGUACCUGCAGAAAAAGCACCGGCUAACUACGUGCCAGCAGCCGCGGUAAUACGUAGGGUGCAAGCGUUGUCCGGAAUUAUUGGGCGUAAAGAGCUCGUAGGCGGUUUGUCACGUCUGCUGUGAAAAUCCCAGGCUCAACCUUGGACUUGCAGUGGGUACGGGCAGGCUAGAGUGCGGUAGGGGAGAUGGGAAUUCCUGGUGUAGCGGUGGAAUGCGCAGAUAUCAGGAGGAACACCAAUGGCGAAGGCACAUCUCUGGGCCGUAACUGACGCUGAGGAGCGAAAGCGUGGGGAGCGAACAGGAUUAGAUACCCCGGUAGUC